GGAGCUGUGCCUGAAGAAAAGGGCCACUUUGAUAGAGUGACUCAUGGGGGUUAAAGUCCCCUUAGCUCCU
rnacentral:tRNA from 2 species